GCAGGCAGGCAGGCAGGCAGGCAGGCAGCUCCAGCAUGUGUUUACCUCCCAGUGGCCUUGCCACCAGCAGCCUUGGCUCAUGAUCCAAGGACACUAAGCCUUAUGCAGCAGCCGGAGACUGAGACUUCAGUUCUAUUGUGAAAAACAGGCUCACGCACCCAAACCAAAGUCAAAAGAUAGAAUCCUUGACCUCACUGCCUCAAACAAAAGUGGCAGUUUCAUUCUGAUAUCAAUGGAAGUUUCGCCCACUCAAAAUCACAGUGACGUAUCAGCUGGACCAGGUCCAACGUGAGGAGGCGCUGGAAGUAAUUGAUGGAAUGUAUGAUGCAUGAUUGACGAUGUGACUGAUUACCAAGGCAACCAGGAGUGACACCUCUAGUGAGAAACAUGGCAGGCGGGAGGAGAUGUUGGCAGGUUCAGAUAGAGGCCAUCCGCGCUGGCCUGCAUGGCCUGCUCUGAAAUGGAGUGGGUGUCAUACCCCUGGUGAUGCAGCCACUGAUGCUGGACAUUCUUCAUCGUGUUUCCCUCUGCAGGCAGUGAUGUAUGAUGUGUCUAUGUUCACUUCUGUCACUUGGGAAGAAAACAAUGCUAGUCCCACAUCUCUUACAGUAGCUUACUCAUUCAUUUAGAUUUUUUUCUAACAAGAUUCUGACAUGAAUGCACGCAUGCAUGAACAAACACACAUACACACACACACACACACACACACACACACACACACACACACACAUUCAUUGUCGUAGCUAAUCAAAGGUCCAAACUGAUAAGUUGGGCAGGUGAGACAGUCUGAGCUCCUCAUUUGUCAAGCUCUCAUCAGAAUGUCAGAGCAGGUGGUCAAUCACCUGCAACUAAAGAUGUGUC